UUUUUUUCCCUUCUCUUCUUUCCAUUUAAUUUCUUCAACAGCUCACCCUCUAGAUGCCGAUGCCGCUCGCCCCUCUAGAUGUCGCUUUGGCUCCUGAUGUGCCCUCCUGCACGUAAAAAUGGGCCUAGUUCGUUGUCGUUCUUCCUUCCCGACCGUUAUCUCCUUCCCAUUUAGUUGGUUCAGCCGAUCCCAUUUAAUUGGUUCAACAAACAUGUUUGUCUUCCAAGCGAUGCUGCUCGCCCCCUGGAUGCCCCGCUCCGGCUCUUGCUGUGCCUUCUUUGGACGGAAUAUUGGGCCGAGUUCAUGAUCGGCCCUUCUUCCCGUUGUGCUGUUCCGUUAGCGACGCUUCAUUUCAGCUUAUUGAUCCCCUCCGGCCACGAAAAUAGUUCGGAUUCAUUCUUCAUGCUCCCUUCUUGCUGCCUAUAUAGUAUGCCUUCUUAAAAAUUUUAUGUGUGGCGAAAAUCUCUAUUUCUGCUGGUGAUUUUUUCUUCUCUGAUUUGGUUUCAAUUUUUUUUUUUGUUUGAAUUUCAAUUUGGUUUUUUAUUACUUUUUUUGAAAAAACUGAAUAAUUUUAUUUGGUCUCGGGAAAUUGCCUACCUAUGUACGUUUGAUUUGCGAGUGAUUGCCUAAGAAUUGAGUUUGCUUCGGGAGGAUCGGAUUGAGCAGGCGAAAGAGUUGGAAGCGGCGCUGAAUGGCGUAGAAGAGGGCCCUUCUCCAUGCAAGGGAAGUGUUGAUAGAUAUUUCUUUAGCUCUUUAUUGAUCUACUAAAGAAAAGUUUUCUUAGCAUUAUCAACAUUACAAGGUAUAGUAAUUAUUUUCUUAAUUAAAGAAUAUUUAGUGCAUAGGUAAUAGGAUCAAAGCAAGUAAGAAGUCACGCAUAGCAGAUGUUUGUUAUUUGGCUAAAUUAUAUAAAACCCUCCUAUCAAAAUUUAAUUUUUUACUUUUUUUCCUGUCAUUUAAAAACCUACACUUUGUCCCCUUGUAAAAUAAAAAAUAUUCACUUUGCCCCCUACCGUCAGUAAUCCGUUAGUAUUCCGUUUAUAAAAUAUUAUUAUAUAUUUUUUUAUGCCGAAAAUAUUCUUAACCUUCUUUUCUGUGAAUAUGGUGAGAGGCAAAAUGGUGAGGGACAAAAUGGUCAUUUUAUCAUCACAAUUCACACCGUAAUUCUCUGUGAAUAUUUUUUAUUUUAGGUAAAAUGUAGGUUUUUAAAUGACGGGGGAAAAGUGAAAAAUCGAAUUCUAACGGGAGGUUUUCUGUAAUUUAGCCUUGUUGUUUUGUCAGGUGGACCUAAUUAAGAGAUGCCUUUGUAUCUUUCCGGGCAAAGGAAAUGGAUAUUUUGAAGAAAUUGAGAUAGGCGAUAGCCUGAAAGUUUUUCAGAUUUAGUUGUGCGUUAUCUAAAAAAAUAUCGAUGACAAAACAUGUGAAUUUCGUCGAAUGGCAAGAAAUAGAUUUUUUUUUUGGAAGUGAAUUAUGUCAAAAAAUAAUCUAAACAUUCUCGCAAAUGCUCUCGCGGUGUGGAUCUUUGGGCAAAAUCUUUCGAUAAUUAAUUUUUAAAAAAAAUUUAAAAUUUUAAGUAGUUGAUCCCUUUAAUUGAAGUUGUCUUUGCAUAUAAAUAGUAUCUUAUAGAGCUUCAAAACUCCUGGAGUUGCUCGAAAAUUUGAGGAUGAAAUUAAAAUUCAAAUCAAACUUUCAAGAAUAUCUUUGUUAUUAGACCUUCUUUACAUUGCCAUUUCCAUGAUAAUUGAGCUUGAGUAGUUUUCGUUGCGCCUCUUAUGUCUACAGAGAAAUAGUUUCUCUAUAAAUCUUAUCCAAUUAUUCUAUUGCCUACGAAAGUAUUUGCUAACUUUUGAACUACUUUGUUUUGCUUUCGGAGAUUGUAUUUGCUAACUUUCUCUUUGCUUAGGGCCCUGAUCUCAGGAGGAGUACCAAACUUUAUUUGAUUUAGUAAACUUGGACUUGCACUUAAAAGCUUUUGAAGAGAAACGAACUAAUCAUAGAAUGGUUUAUCUAUUCUCAUUAUUUUCUCUCUUUUUAAUUACUUUAUGGAAAAUAUUACCAGCAGAUUGAAGCAGCAGCAGCAGGUGAUGUAGCAGCAGUAGAUGGCAGCAGCAGCAGCAGUUUGCAGCAGCAGCAGAUGACAGCAACGGCAGUUUGCAACGGAAAAACAGCGAAGGCUUGUGGACCUUGAACACUCCCACCACCUCUCAACAUGCUACCUAUAAAAGAAAAAAGAAAAGAAUUUUGGUUCGUUGAGCCUUUAUUCCACUGGUCUUCAUCACAUGCAGUUGAAGUAUGAGCAAAUCAUCAGUGCAGAAUGUAGAGUUAGACCUAUAUAGUAGUCCGUGAAGAUUUGAUGUGUUGCCACUUUUCUCUCAAUCUGAGUCAUUUGGCUAAUCUUUUCUGCAAGAGUCAUCCGAUUCAUCAUCAGAUCUUUAAUUAAUUGACUCGAAGAUUAACCGGCUGAUUGGGAUCUCUGUACUUCAUAUACUCUGCUUCUCUAAGAAAGGUCCAAAAAUAGGAGGAACGAGAUGAUAACAAAAGCCGGCCCGAAUAAUGCCAUCCUGGGACGGAGUAAGAAGCCACUCCAACUUCUAAUCUGAUUGGGAAAUUGACAGCAUGAGGAAAGAGGUGCAAAAGAAGCAAUUAGGCAAAAGCUUAUAACAGUGAUCCACGGAGCAAUUGUCGAAUAGAUAGGUGGGUCUUAUUGAAACGAAAUUUUAGAUUGAAAGACACAAUAGACAAAAUGGAUCAGAAUCCAGCUAUUAACUACCUUGCGCCUUGAGGUAGCCAGGAUCUGGGAGAUAAACUAAUGCAAUAUUUUUCUUUAUGGAUCUCAUUUCAGUGUAUUAAGUAAAAAAUCUGAGCUCAUUUAUGGUUAAUUUUUUUACCAUUUAUGAUUAUUAUGA